AGAGUUUGAUCCUGGCUCAGGACGAACGCUGGCGGCGUGCCUAAUACAUGCAAGUAGAACGCUGAAGGAGGAGCUUGCUCUUCUGGAUGAGUUGCGAACGGGUGAGUAACGCGUAGGUAACCUGCCUGGUAGCGGGGGAUAACUAUUGGAAACGAUAGCUAAUACCGCAUAACAGUAGAUGUUGCAUGAUAUCUGCUUGAAAGGUGCAAUUGCAUCACUACCAGAUGGACCUGCGUUGUAUUAGCUAGUUGGUGAGGUAACGGCUCACCAAGGCGACGAUACAUAGCCGACCUGAGAGGGUGAUCGGCCACACUGGGACUGAGACACGGCCCAGACUCCUACGGGAGGCAGCAGUAGGGAAUCUUCGGCAAUGGACGGAAGUCUGACCGAGCAACGCCGCGUGAGUGAAGAAGGUUUUCGGAUCGUAAAGCUCUGUUGUAAGAGAAGAACGAGUGUGAGAGUGGAAAGUUCACACUGUGACGGUAUCUUACCAGAAAGGGACGGCUAACUACGUGCCAGCAGCCGCGGU
rnacentral:rRNA from 1 species